AAAUCGUAAUUCAACACACCCCAAAAAACCCUCGCCCUCAUCCUCUCCCUCACUCUUGGUCCCUCGAUGGCUCGACUCUCUCUCCCCCAGUCUCUCGUUAACUACACGCCGUGCCACGGUUGGAGCCGUCAGACUCUGCUACUGAAGCAGCGGCGCAACACCUAUGCAAUGGUCGAUUCGUUGGAUCUGCAACUGAGGUAAGAAUGAUGGAGAGAGGACCAGAGGACUCAAUUCGGCAAAAGAUGGAGGAAUUGGGGCUUACCUGCGAUCGAGAAAACAUGGUUCAAAACCAGAAAUUGAGCUCCUCUAGUGAUUCCUUUCGAAAAUAUUUUCCGUCGGUCAAGCGUAUGUACAAAGAGACGGUCGAAAAAAAAGGUUGUAAAAGGACCAUCAUGAAGCAGAGUAAAAGUGCAUUGGCUCUACAUCUUGACUUUAAUAUUGUUAGUGGCUUUGUUAAUUUUUAGCCUUAUUUUGCUUAAUAUGUAAAAAUAUGCCAAAGGCGACAUUUCAAGGAAUUUUAUAUGUGACCAUAGUUGUAAUGUUAUAAAGCUCGAAAUUUGAGGAUCAUCAGAAUAGGAUCAAAUAAAGAAAGGCCAAUUCCAACCCU